rnacentral:misc_RNA from 1 species
CCGGAACAUUCUAGGAAGUCGAAUAAUGUCUGGAUCAGAGAAAAGAUUGAACAAGAACGGCUGCACAUCUUCAAGUGUCUCGGGUCCUCCGAGAUUAAGCAACAAGACCCCAACCUUCUCAUUCCCAACAGCAAAAGCCGGCACCUCCGGAGCUUCAGAUGCCACCACAGCCUCCGUAGUCGACGCAAACCUUUCCCUUACCCUCCUCCGCGUCGG